rnacentral:rRNA from 1 species
CCGCGUGCAGGAUGAAGGCCCUCGGGUCGUAAACUGCUUUUAUAAGUGAAGAAUAUGACGGUAACUUAUGAAUAAGCACCGGCUAACUACGUGC